rnacentral:rRNA from 1 species
CGAACGCUGGCGGCGCGUUUAAGCAUGCAAGUCGAGCGGCAAGGGCCUUCGGGCCCCUAGAGCGGCGGACGGGUGAGUAACACGUGGACCAAUCGUGCCCCCCGGCCCGGGAUAGCCCAGGGAAACCUGGAUUAAUACCGGAUGAGACGGGACCCGCGAUGGCGGGACCCGGGAAAGGCGCUGCGGCGCCGCCGGGGGAUGAGUCUGCGUCCCAUUAGCUAGACGGCGGGGUAACGGCCCACCGUGGCGACGAUGGGUAGCCGGCCUGAGAGGGUGGACGGCCACAUUGGAACUGAGACACGGUCCAGACUCCUACGGGAGGCAGCAGCUAAGAAUCUUCCGCAAUGGGCGAAAGCCUGACGGAGCCGACGCCGCGUGAACGAAGAAGGCCGUGAGGUUGUAAAGUUCUUUUCGGGAGGGGAACAACCGUGGCAGGGAAUGGCCGCGGGAUGACGUGAAUCCCGGAAUAAGCCCCGGCUAACUACGUGCCAGCCGCCGC